rnacentral:tRNA from 1 species
GGGGAUAUGGCGAAAUCGGUAGACGCUACGGACUUUAUGAAUAUGAAAAAUGAAAGAAUUUUUACGAAUCAAAUUCAAGUUGAAAUUUGAAAAAAGAAUCAAAUAUUCAUUCAUCAAAUAAUUCACUCCAUAGUCUGAUAGAUCUUUUGAAGAGCUGAUUACCCGGACGAGAAUAAAGAUAGAGUCCCAUUCUACAUGUCAAUACUGACAACAAUGAAAUUUAUAGUAAGAGGAAAAUCCGUCGACUUUAAAAAUCGUGAGGGUUCAAGUCCCUCUAUCCCCA